AUACGGAGGGUGCAAGCGUUACUCGGAAUCACUGGGCGUAAAGCGCGCGCAGGCGGCUUGAUAAGUUGGAUGUGAAAGCCUACGGCUCAACCGUAGAACUGCAUCCAAAACUGUCAAGCUAGAGUCUGGGAGGGGAAGAUGGAAUUAGUUGUGUAGGGGUAAAAUCCGUAGAGAUAACUAGGAAUACCAAAAGCGAAGGCAAUCUUCUGGAACACUACUGACGCUCAGGCGCGAAAGCGUGGGGAGCAAACAGGAUUAGAAACCCUAGUAGUCC
rnacentral:rRNA from 1 species